CCUACGGGAGGCAGCAGUGGGGAAUUUUGGACAAUGGGCGAAAGCCUGAUCCAGCCAUUCCGCGUGAGUGAAGAAGGCCUUCGGGUUGUAAAGCUCUUUCGCAAGGGAAGAAAACUUAGAUACUAAUAUUAUCUGAGGUUGACGGUACCUUGAUAAGAAGCACCGGCUAACUACGUGCCAGCAGCCGCGGUAAUACGUAGGGUGCGAGCGUUAAUCGGAAUUACUGGGCGUAAAGCGUGCGCAGGCGGUUUUGUAAGUCAGAUGUGAAAUCCCCGAGCUCAACUUGGGAACUGCGUUUGAAACUACAAGACUAGAAUAUGUCAGAGGGGGGUAGAAUUCCACGUGUAGCAGUGAAAUGCGUAGAGAUGUGGAGGAAUACCAAUGGCGAAGGCAGCCCCCCUGGGAUAAUAUUGACGCUCAUGCACGAAAGCGUGGGGAGCAAACAGGAUUAGAUACCCUGGUAGUCCACGCCCUAAACGAUGUCUACUAGUUGUUGGUGGAGUAAAAUCCAUGAGUAACGCAGCUAACGCGUGAAGUAGACCGCCUGGGGAGUACGGUCGCAAGAUUAAAACUCAAAGGAAUUGACGG
rnacentral:rRNA from 1 species